rnacentral:rRNA from 1 species
UACGUAGGGUGCAAGCGUUGUCCGGAAUCAUUGGGCGUAAAGCGCGCGCAGGCGGUCUUCCAAGUCAGUGGUGAAAGCCCGGAGCUCAACUCCGGAAUUGCCAUUGAAACUGUGAGACUGGAGUACGAGAGAGGUGAGUGGAAUUCCCAGUGUAGAGGUGAAAUUCGUAGAUAUUGGGAAGAACACCGGUGGCGAAGGCGGCUCACUGGCUCGUAACUGACGCUCAGGCGCGACAGCGUGGGGAUCAAACAGG